CUUCUAACUCCUCUACCCGGAGAAGCCCUCGUGGUGCUGAGUCAAACACCUGGUACUUCUCGCUGAGAGAGCAGAUGGGAUGACAGGAAGUGAAAAUGAAGACCACGAGGAAGUUAGCAGUUAAUACAGGGGAAGAAAUGCAGAAUGAAAAAAGUUCCCUAUCUGAGCCACCUUUCAUUAGAUUUGCCAGAGGAAAGACAACAACUCUUUCCAAAGGAGCUUUCAGUCCAAAAGCAGAGGCAAAGUAAGAAACAGACUCGGAUGAAAAGAGGUAAGUUGUGAUAGGGUGAUGCAGUUUUUCCUCAUAAGUCUGG